UCACAAUCUUAGAGAGGGAAAUGAGAAGGAAUCCAAUGGCCGGGAGUGCGUCCAUCACUUCCCAUACAACGGAUGAUGAUCUUCACAUGAAGCUGCUAUACCUGGAGAACAGAGGAUACCCACUAAUUUUGGAGUGAAGCAAGAACAAUGGACCAUGCAGUCAUGGCAAGAUAAGGAGAGGAAUCGUGGCAUUGACUAAGAUACAAGGAGCACACUCUUUUAAUUUAUUUUUUUUCUUUUAAUAAGGAGCACGAACCUUUGGCUCAUCAACUAUGAAUAUUUUGCUUUGUCUUGGAAAAAACAAA